AGAGCAAUCUGUGGGCAGCCAGCGCAGGGCUUUCUUCGGAGUUGCUCUCCCAGGAGUCCCACCCACCCUGGAUGAGGGUCAGAAGGGAGGAGGACGUUGGCUGGCCUGCCACAUGCAUCAGUUAAUCAGCAGGAUGAUUAAGCCACUGGACUCCUUCCCUGCCCGGGAUUCCAGGAGGGACUGGCGUGGUCACAAUGUGGACUCAGGAGGUGAAGUGCCAAGGCCUGCGCACACUCACAGAGACCUGCGCCGCUUCCCUCCUCGUGCAGGGUCCCCCUUCGGAGUCUGGAGAAAGGAAGAAUGGCCAGAGGCCACUCCCUCUCCUUGGGAGCUCCUGCCGGGAUGCCAACCUGGGCUUCAGGAUGGGAUGACCUCAGAGGGCAACUCGGAACUGUAAUUAGCCUCCACUGUAAUCCCCGCCACUCCCAACUCAGACUCAGAACUCUGGGGGCUUGGCAGCUCAGCCCAGACCCCCAGCUUCCUCCUCCUAUCCAGCGGGUGUAACAGGCACUCAAAAACUGAUUACUAAACAGGGAAGGGGACUUGGAGGCCUGAUUUGUGGAGAUCUUGAUAAAAUCUUGCCUUAUACAUGUCCUAUUCUUG
rnacentral:lncRNA from 1 species